rnacentral:rRNA from 1 species
UGGGGAAUUUUGGACAAUGGGGGCAACCCUGAUCCAGCCAUGCCGCGUGUGUGAAGAAGGCCUUCGGGUUGUAAAGCACUUUCGGCCGGAACGAAAUCGCGUGGGCUAACACCCCGCGUGGAUGACGGUACCGGAAGAAGAAGCACCGGCUAACUACGUGCCAGCAGCCGCGGUAAUACGUAGGGUGCGAGCGUUAAUCGGAAUUACUGGGCGUAAAGUGUGCGCAGGUGGCCGCGCAAGUCGAGUGUGAAAGCCCCGGGCUUAACUUGGGAAUUGCGCUCGAAACUACGUGGCUAGAGUGUGGCAGAGGGAGGUGGAAUUCCACGUGUAGCGGUGAAAUGCGUAGAGAUGUGGAGGAACACCAAUGGCGAAGGCAGCCUCCUGGGCCAACACUGACACUCAUGCACGAAAGCGUGGGGAGCAAACAGGAUUAGAUACCCAGGUAGUCCACGCCCUAAACGAUGAUGACUAGUUG